UACGGGGGGGGCAAGCGUUGUUCGGAAUUACUGGGCGUAAAGGGUGCGUAGGCGGUUCGCUAAGUUGGAUGUGAAAACUAUGGGCUCAACCCAUAGCCUGCAUCCAAUACUGACGAACUAGAGUUCUGGAGGGGGUAGCGGAAUUCCUGGUGUAGCGGUGAAAUGCGUAGAUAUCAGGAGGAACACCGGUGGCGAAGGCGGCUACCUGGACAGAGUCUGACGCUGAGGCACGAAAGCUAGGGGAGCAAACAGGAUUAGAUACCCUGGUAGUCCUAGCCCUAAACGAUGGAUACUUGGUGUGACUGGGAUUGAAUCCAGUCGUGCCGAAGCUAACGCAUUAAGUAUCCCGCCUGGGGAGUACGGUCGCAAGGCUGAA
rnacentral:rRNA from 1 species